rnacentral:rRNA from 1 species
CCUACGGGCGGCAGCAGUGGGGAAUAUUGGGCAAUGGGCGCAAGCCUGACCCAGCAACGCCGCGUGAAGGAAGAAGGCUUUCGGGUUGUAAACUUCUUUUGACAGGGAAGAGCAGAAGACGGUACCUGUCGAAUAAGCCACGGCUAACUACGUUCCAGCAGCCGCGGUAAUACGUAGGUGGCAAGCGUUGUCCGGAUUUACUGGGGGUAAAGGGCGUGUAGCCGGGCUGACAAGUCAGAUGUGAAAUCCGGGGGCUCAACCCCCGAACUGCAUUUGAAACUGUUGGUCUUGAGUAUCGGAGAGGCAGGCGGAAUUCCUAGUGUAGCGGUGAAAUGCGUAGAUAUUAGGAGGAACACCAGUGGCGAAGGCGGCCUGCUGGACGACAACUGACGGUGAGGCGCGAAAGCGUGGGGAGCAAACAGGAUUAGAUACCCUUGUAGUC